rnacentral:lncRNA from 1 species
GAGAUCGCUUCCUGCAGAGGAGGCAACAGGCCCCGCUAGCAGGUCAGGGUCCCGGGCAGGCGCAGGUGCCCCCCGGCCUCUCAAGCAGGGACUGCGGCGAGCUCAGACGCGGCUGACGGGCAGAGACUCGCGCUUGGGCUCAGUGCGUGUGAAGUGGGCCUCGGGCUGCGGAGGAGGGCAGCACCCCGUGGCUCCUCGCGCUGCUGCGAGCAGGGCCGCCUGGCAGGGGCGGGGGCCGGUGGGCGGGAGUGUCGGGGUAAGGCCGCGGACUCCUCCCAUGCCGCUGAGCAGUGGACAGCGGGGACUGGAGACCUCCAGGUGAGGAAGGGGAACGAAGUCAAGAAGGCCACAUGUCCUGGCUUCCAGGCUUGGUGUCCUCAGAAGCCUCCAGAACGUCCAUGGAACCCGCCCCUGCGCCCACCGCCUCCUGCUGUCUUUCCAGCUGAGUUCCGGCUGCCCCUCACCCUCGGCUUCUUCACUCUGCCUCUCCCCAGCCAGCGCCCUGCUCCCCGGUCCUCAACCACCACCUUCCACCUGCCUGGGCCUUCAUCGCCUCCGAGCUCCCCUUCCACACCAAACCUGGCGUCCGUUUUCCUCCAGGCCUGCACCAGCACAGCUGAAGGGGAGAGAGACCCAACCUCAUCCACUGGGCCUCCCCUCAACCAGGGCCACAACCUCAAGGGGCCAUGCCACCUCCAACACCUAUUUCCCACCUUCUACUCUCUCCACACCCUGGGACACCACCCGCCUCUCUCAGCUGACGUUUUCCUUCUUGUUUUGUGUGCAUGGUGCUUGUGUGAGAAAGUGGACACACAGUAAGUGCGGCUUCCAGAUGCGUCCGCCACCUGCCCUCCGUGCCACGCGCUUCCCCCUACCUAGGGGAGCCUCCACCAGACAGGGAACCCACGCCUUGCCACCCUUCUCUCUCCCUCCCACUUCACCUGUCCGCAUCAUUUCUGGAGCCCUUUCUUUCUGGCACGAGAUGCUCCAGGGCCCUGUUGUAUUCUCCCUGCCCCAGCCUGAACCCAGCUAUUUCUGCUGCAGCCUGGUUCAUUGUGGGAGAAUGUCAUGCAGAGCCCGGGAUCUGGCUCCGGAUGUGCUCAUUGCUACUGGGGUGUCAUUGCAGCUGGCGGAGCAAGGGAACACAUCUAUGUACAUGCCCACACGCAUAUGUAUACACACAGUUUCAUGGGCGUGUUUGUCUGUUUUUCUUGGGCACCACGUGUUUACUCUGAUGCCAGGCCAACACUACAGGGCUCAACCUGUUCGGAAUGAGGGGCCUCCUGCUUUGGGAGUGAGGAACCUGGCUCUGAUUAUCUCCUGUGUAACCAGUCUCUCAUCCUUGCUUCCACCCCACCAUAUGCUACCCGCUCCUCACCCUGCGUGGCCUCUGACCUCCGCUGGACCACCGAGGCCCCGCCCCCACAGGGGCGCCUGCCUGCCUAGCACAGUUGAGCAAGGAGUGAAUUCCCAGUGAAAUUUUUUUAAUUUUUAUUUUAUUUAUUUAUUUUGGGUUUUUUUUUCUUUCUUUCUUUCUUUUUGAGAUGGGGGUCUCCCUGUGUUGCCCAGGCUGGUCUCAAACUCCUGGGCUCCAGCGAUCCUCCCACCUCAGCCUCCCAAAGUGCUGAGAUCACAGGCAGGAGCCACUGCGGACACAGCCUGAAUUGUCAAUCAUAUCACUCCUGUGCCUGAAACCAUUGACAGUUCCCAUCACCCGCCCUCUCCCCAGUGUCCAGGCCCCUCCUCCCCUCCCCACUAUCAAGACACUGGCUCCUGAUGCUCCCCGACACCACCGAAUUCCAUCCUCCAGGCUUUGGCCCAGUGGCUCCAUCUGCCUGGGACGGUCUCCCCAUAACCUCGUGUAGUUCAGGCCUUUGCGGGUGUCACGUCCAUGGAGAUGUCUCCCCAGCCCUAACCAUCCCUCCCAGGUGCCUCUCUGCCUGCUCCGGGCCCUCCCCCUGUUGCAGUGUGAGCACUGUGAAGCCCACUCUUAACCGCUGCUCCACCAGCCCAGCGUGGCACCAGGCACACGGGGUCAUCGGAGAACAGCUGGUGUGGCUGAUAGGCUCUGAGUUCUGAGUGAGGAAGAUGCAACCCAGCACAGGGACCAGUGCCCAGAGCAAGGGAUCAGGAGGGACAGAACCAUCACCUGGGCCAGAACAAGGGCAGGGUGCGAGGAACCUGAGUGGUUGGACUUCAGGAGAGCCGGGUUUCCGCAGGAAGGCUUCUCUGCUCGGACACUCGAGGGGCAGGGUGGAGCAUGGGGCACAUCCAGGGCUGAGGGACGAUGCAGAGUCGGGGGACAGUGUUCUGCACGUUGGCAGGUGAGGGGUCAGAGGUGGCCCUCAGAAUCUGGCAGGCCUAAUGCCAGCCUUCAAUGACCACCUGAAUUAAAAGUGGAAAUGAGUAGCAGGGAGAGGAGGCUGAGGCAGCAGCAGGGAAGCCCAAAGUGGGCAGUGGCCGUUUGUCACCAGAGACCUUCCAGCAGCUGUGGGAUGGGAGAGGCCCCAGAAGGUCCCUGCAAGCCUGGCCCAGGGCCAUGGAGGAGCCUCAAGAGGAGUGGGCACCACACUGCGGGCCAGACUGGGCAGUGGCAGGGCUGUACCCCAGGGCUCUCUUGUCCCACAGGCCACCAUCAGCCUGGUCAGCCCAUCUCAGUACAGCCAGGGCCAUGAAGGAAGGCCACACAGGAGGACCCCAGGCCAGUGCCCGCCCUGGCCAUAUCCAAGGGGCAGGGUGCAGCCCCAGCACCUCCAGCUUAUCUGUAGGUCCUCUAGGUAAGGCAGGGCUGUCCCUGGAACUUGCCCCAUGGCCCAGGCAGAAAUCCUAUUUGAUGGUUUAUGGAGGGCAAAGUUGAGAGGAAGGAGGGAGGGAAGGAGCAGGGGCCCCGGGUGCUUACUCCCAGGUCUUCACUGCAGCCUGGGGCUGCCCUCUGAAGUACACAGUCCCUGGGAGGCAGAGACCUCUGCCCUGAGGACGAUGUGAAUCCAAAGGUGCUUCUCACCUCCAGCCAGGGCCCAUCCCUGGAGAUAAGAGACACUCAGAGCCCUUGGUGGCCCAGGGGGGUCUAGAGCCGGCCUCAGACCUGCCCUCCCUGCCCCGCCUCCAUUCCCUUCAGCCCAGGCCUCUUGUAUCUUUUGGCCCUCACCUACCACCCCGCCCUCUCCCUGGCAGAGCAAACGCUUCCCAGUAACACUCCCUUCUCUGCAAGGAUCUCAGAGAUCAGCCUGUGUCCCUGAGUCCAGAGCCACACCCGGUCAGCUCUGGGUCCCUGAGUCCAGAGCCAUACCCGGUCAGCUGUGCCCAACCCCGGGCAAGACUGAGCUGGGCCCUGGGGUGGAGGCGGCUGCACCGAUACUGGCUCCACACCAGGCCUUCUCUAAAACCCCACGGGAGCGGGAGAUACAAUUCAGAUGCCCCACCCCCACCUGCUUCUCAGCAGGAAAUGGUCUAAUGUGAAAGUAGGUCUUUUAAAUCCGAAUUAUUCAAUCUGUGCAUGUGACAGGACCCACAGCUCCAUCUCUGUGCGCGCCCUGGGCGCCGCGCUCCAGCCAGGCUUUGAAGGGUCUCAGAGCUGCAGGGGACGUUUCUAGAUUUCCAGCUCUGGCAGGAGAGGUCCCUUUGUCUUUCCCUGGGCUCUGGGCUCCUGCAGGGCGUCUGUCCUCCUCCUACCAGCACUGUGAGGUUCUCCACCACACGGCCCUCUGCUGUCGUCUUCACUUGCAGUGAGAUCCAGGCCCCAAAGGACAGAGAAUAAGGAGGGAGGGAGAGAGGAGAGCAUCGUGAUGGUGCCCAGGGGGUGCAGAAUGUAGGUGAUCAAGAAGAAAGCCCUAAUUAGCUCCUGCAGCUUUCAAAGGAAGGGGCUGGUGGAGGAAUGGGACCAUGGCACCUCUCCAACCCUCAGCACACACCUGCUGAGGCCCACUGGGUGCCAGGGUGGGUUUAGCACCAGGCUCUGGCCCUGAGGCCAAAGCAGGGCAGCUCUGCUCAGGGGGUUGAGUAGGGGCCUGGUUCCCAGCUUCAUGGGGAGCGGCCAGUGAGGAGGUGUCACCGCAGCAGAGCCAGGCACAAAGUGAGGGCAGGCUGCUGUGGCUGGUGAAUGAGUGGCUGGCAGAGCUGGGAGGGUCACUGCCCUACAAGGUCACAGACAUCAUGGCCCAGGAGGCUGGUGUGGCAGGCAGAGCGAAUGCCGGGCCUUGGGGGCCUCUGAGAGGAGGCUGACUGUGGCCCCCUGGACCCCGUCUUGCAGGUGCGGGGAGUUGGCCUCUGUCCCCCACCAGGACUCAUCCCUUGUUCCGAAGCUCCCCACCAUGCUUCUCACCCCCGACCCUCCUGGCCACCAACCCGUGGUCAUGAAUCAUGAAUUGCACAUCCUUCUUGGGCACACCCGUGCUUGCACACCCAAGCUGGGUACACACAUGCAUGUGCACAAACACACAUGAGCUGGGUAUGUACACAUGUGCACACACAGUGGGGAAUCGGUGUCUGCUGGGGGGUGGAGGAGGUGAUGGUGUAAGUGAGCAGAUGCAUUGUGGGGGCAUGUUUCCUCUCCCUGCUAGAGUUGGACCAGAAUCCCCAGAGAAAACUCACGUGGCCUCUUGUCACUCUGGUGAGCAGACCCAGGUGGGCUGACACUCGCAGAGGGAGGUGCGUAGCUUAGACCACCAGCUCCAGUAAAGACCUGACAACACCCAGCCCCUGCCUCCCUUGCAGGCCAAUGGAAGAAUCCACCUUCUUCCUUAGAGUCCUUUAUCACAGGCUCAUCUGGCCUCACUGUAGAAUCCCAAAACUGCAUGCACAGAGAUAGAAAUCCUGACUAUGUCCAGUGGCCCUAAGUACCACAGAUGAACCUAAAGGAAGGGCUUUUUUUUUUUUUUGAGACAGAGUCUCACUCCGUUGCCCAGGCUGGAGUGCAGUGGCACGAUCUCGGCUCACUGCAACCUCUGCCUCCCGAGUUCAAGCAAUUCUCCUGCCUCAGCCUCCUGAGGAGCUGGGACUACAGGGGCGCACCACCAUGCCUGGCUAAUUUUUGUAUUUUUAGUAGAGACGGGGUUUCACCGUGUUGGCCAGGCUGGUCUCAAACUCCUGACCUCAUGAUCUGCACACCUCGGCCUCCCAGAGUGCUAGGAUUACAGGUGUUAGCCACAGCACCCAGCCAACGCGGGGCUUUUCUUUCUUUCUUUCUUUUUUUUUUUUUUUUUUGAGAUGGAGUCUCGCUGCGUUGCCCAGGCUGGAAUGCAGUGGCGCAAUCUCAGCUCACUGCAACCUCUGCCUCCUGGUUCAACCGAUUCUCCUGCCUCAGCCUCCUGAGUAGCUGGAAUUACAGGCACCUGCCACCACACUCAGCUAAUUUUCGCUUUUUGUUUUUUGUUUUUUUGAGACGGAGUGUUGCUGUGUCACCCAGACUGGAGUGCAGUGGCGCGAUCUCAGCUCACUGCAAGCCCCGCCUCCCGGGUUCACGCUAUUCUCCUGCCUCAGCCUCCUGAGUAGCUGGGACUACAGUCGCCCGCCACCAUGCCCGGCUAAUUUUUUUUAUUUUUAGUAGAGACAGGGUUUCACCAUGUUAGCCAGGAUGGUCUCGAUCUCCUGACCUCAUGAUCUGCCC